rnacentral:rRNA from 1 species
UACGUAGGGACCGAGCGUUGUCCGGAAUCAUUGGGCGUAAAGAGCGUGUAGGCGGCCACUUAAGUCCUGCGUGAAAUCUUGCGGCUCAACCGCAAGCGGUCGUGGGAAACUGGGUGGCUAGAGUGCGGGAGAGGAGAGUGGAAUUCCUGGUGUAGCGGUGGAAUGCGCAGAUAUCAGGAGGAACACCGACAGCGAAGGCAGCACUCUGGGCCGGUACUGACGCUGAGGAGCGAAAGCAUGGGGAGCGAACAGG